ACAGAAACAACUGGACGACAAAAACAAAAUGCACACACAGCUACAUACUGGAUAAAUUGGAAAUCAACAACAGAGAAAAGACACCAGAAUGAAGAGGGAGAGAAAAGGCUUAAAGAGAGAGCUAUAGGAAAGUUCCAAACAUGUUCCCAGGGACAGAUUUAUAGGAGGACAUGAUCCAAAGAGGCAUAAGAUAGCUGGACAUGUAUGGAUGGAUUGGGAUCCGUUUCAUCCAUCUAGAAGAAAUCACAGAUCCAUUAGAAUGUAAAUAUCUUUAGGACCUCUGGGUCGGGCGCUGUGGAAACAAAGGUGGAAAGAUACAAUCCCUUCUCUCCAAAAGCCUUUCAUCCAAUUUGGAGAUGCUACGGGGAAGGAUGUCAAAGUGAGCUCCGGCGUCCCCCGAGGAGAUCGGAGGAGGAAAAGCUCCCUUCCAGCAGGGGAGAAGGAGAUGCCUCCGAGAGGGCAGCAGUAUUUGAGCUGGGUCCUGAAGGAGAUCGCUUCAGGCGGCAGAGACACGGUGCGGUGCGUAUCCCAAGCAGGGAGAGAGAAUUGAGAAUUCUUAGAUAUAGAAUUCUGGAAGAGGAAGAGUGAAGUAAGAGCAGAAAAGUCGAUGAAAGGUGAAUUGUGGAAGGCUUCAAAUGCUAGGCUAAGGAGUUUUAAUUUUAUUCCAGAGGCAGUAGGGAGUCACUGAAGGUUCUUAGACAGUAGAAUAACUUGGUCGGACCUGAGGGUGCGGUAGGCAACAGAUGAUGAGUUAGGUCCUGAUGAGUAAAGCCAGCCAUGUGUUAUAGGAUCUUAAGACAAUUAAAGAUGUUUUUAUUUUUAGAUUUUAGGAAAAUUUUAUUUAAUUAGUUAAUUUAGAGUAUUUUCCCAUGGUUACAUGAUUCAUGUUCUUUCCCUUCCCUCCUCCUGUCCCCCCAACUGAAGCUCAAUCUUACUGGGCUUUACAUGUGUCAUUGAUCAAGACCUAUUUCCAUAUUAUUAAUAAUUGCACCAGGGUGAUCGGUUAGAGUCUGCAUCCCCAAUCAGGUCCUCAUUGAACCAUGUGAUCGAGCAGUUGUUUUUCUUCUACAUUUCUGCUCCCACAGUUCUUUCUCAUAGAUCCCUCCGGGUUGCUCAGGAUCACUGCAUCGCCAUUAAUGGAGAAGUCCAUUACGUUCGAUUGUACCACAGUGUAUCAGUCUCUGUGUACAAUGUUCUCCUGGUUCUGCUCCUCUCACUCUGCAUCAAUUCCUGGAGGCUGUUCCAGUUCACAUGGAAUUCCUAAGUAAUGAUUUUUUUUUUUUUUUGGAUGGGGCUUUAUCUAGUGUUGAGUCACUGCUUGCUUCUUAAAUAUUUAAUAACACAAAUGUGCAUUUCUACAUGCCUGAUGGUUGCAAACAGGAGUUUAUGAAAGACCUCUUUGAAAUAAUAGCAAUUUGCAAGGUCAUGUUGGGGGAAGUGGGUGUCUGACAGAAUAAGCUUAUGAGGACAGCCACAGGCAAAAUCCAUAGCUAGUAUUUACAAAGUACUUAGGGCUUGCAGAGAGUUUUACAUAUGUUACCACAUUAAAUCAUUAACAUUACCCUGCAAAGUAAUGGUGCUAUUAUCACUCCCGUUUUACAGAGGAGGGAACCAAGACUGAUAGAGGUUAAGUGAAUUGUCCAGGGUCACAUAGCUAGUUGGUAUCUUAGGGCAGAAUUUGAAUUCAGGUCUUCCUGACUUUGAGUCUAGCAUUUUAUCAUUAAAAUACCUAAACACAUUUUAUCAAGUCUUUUUCACUCUAUGAGCCAAAUGUAAUACUGGCACACUCCAAAACCCAGAUUUUAAGGAAGUCAGUCAGUUAAUAAACAUUUAUUAAGCACCCA
ensembl:lncRNA